GCUGAGGAAGUUGCCUCUCUCUGGCGCCUGCAUUCAAUGAACGUUUGUAAUGUUAGCAGGUGUGGACCUUGAGGAGAUUUUCUCUCCCUGGCUGCCCAAUUAUCAUUUUUAGAGAGGCAAUGCGAUAAUUGCUGAACGAUGUCACCUGACAUUCCUAGCGGGUGGGAGAGAGCCCUCUCCUGCCCCGCUCAUUGCCUAACUACCUGUAACAGGUGUGUGGGUGAGUGCUCCCUGUGAUGGAACGGUGUCCUGUUCAGGACUGGGUGCCACCUGGCACCUUGAGCUGCCAGGACCGGCUCGGGCUGCUCGCGAUCCCAAACUAGAACAAAUGGAAAUGUUCAGUUGUCUAGCUCACAGGGAUAUCCACAAGCCAGACCCAGAAAGCCUUUGCUACCAUUGAUGAAGAUGCCAAGUCCACAGCCCAACAGCCAGAAGACCCUUGGUCUAGCCCUUGGAUUCAGACUGAAUUGAUAUCGCCAGGUUUCCUGUCUUUUCAGCUUGCAGGCAGCUGAUUGUGGGACUUCUCAGCCUCCUUAAUCAUGACUAGUGGCCUUGUGAGAAGAGAGAGCAACACCAGCAAUGCACAUGCAAAGAGGAAAGGCCCUGCAAGGAUGCUAAGAACGAGGACGGCCAUCCGCCCACCAAGGAGAGAAGUAUCAGGAGGAACAAACCGGCCAACACCUUGAUCUUGGACUUCCAGCCUCCAGAACUGUCCGCAGCUUGGGCUACCUUCCAGCAUAAAGUCACUAAAGAUGUGCCGGGCAUGAUGAAGGAAGAAAGCGACUACAUGCUGAAGGAGAUGGUGCGGGGACUCGCUAGUACCUAUUGGCAGGACCUGGGGAACUUUGGUGGGUGCUUGAUAAUGGGGACUGGAAUAAAAACUGGCUAAG
rnacentral:lncRNA from 1 species